rnacentral:rRNA from 1 species
GAUGAACGCUGGCGGCGUGCUUAAUACAUGCAAGUCGAACGAAUCCGGCGCAAGCCGGGUUAGUGGCAAACGGGUGAGUAACACGUGGGUGACCUACCCCGAAGUGGGGAAUAACCGCUCGAAAGGGCAGCUAAUUCCGCAUACGGUCAGCUCUUCGUUGAGUUGAUCAAAGGCGCAAGCCGCUUUGGGAGGGGCCCGCGGCCGAUUAGCUAGUUGGUGGGGUAAAGGCCUACCAAGGCGAAGAUCGGUAGCUGGUCUGAGAGGAUGAUCAGCCACAUUGGCACUGAGACACGGGCCAAACUCCUACGGGAGGCAGCAGUAAGGGAUAUUGCACAAUGGGGGAAACCCUGAUGCAGCAACGCCGCGUGGGCGAUGAAGGUCUUCGGAUCGUAAAGCCCUUUUCUGUGGGAAGAGAGCGGACGGUACCACAGGAAUAAGUCUCGGCUAACUACGUGCCAGCAGCCGCGGUAAAACGUAGGAGGCAAGCGUUAUCCGGAUUU